rnacentral:rRNA from 1 species
CCAACUAAAUUUUUUUUUUUUUUUUUUAAAGAAAGACUAAACGGUGAAACCGCGAAAAGCUCAUUAAAUCGGCUUUGGUUCCUUAGAUAGUAAGCAGAUCUGAUUUUUUUUCAAAAAUUUUUGAAAAAAAAGAAAAUCUGAAAUGGAUAAUGUGGUAAUUCUAGAGCUAAUACAUGAAAAUUAUUUCCAUGUGAAAAUAUUUACGAAAGUGAUAUUUUUGCAUGCUUUUAUUAGAGGAAAAAGCCAAUUUUUAAUAAAAAAUUUAAAAGAAUUCUUGUAAUUUUUUUAAAUUUAUUAAUUUAAAAUACGUUUAAAAAAUUUUAUUAUAUAUUGAUAAUUUUUUUUGAAAUGGUGUUGAAUCUGAAUAACUUGAAUGAAUUUCUUUUGAAAAAUUUUUUUAUUGUAUUAAUGUUUUUAUAAUUGUGUAUUUUUUUUUUUUAAAAUUUUUUUUAAAUUAUAUAAAAUCUAAAUAAAAAUUAUUAUACAUAUAAUAUUUAAUAAUAUAUAAAUAUAUUUCUUAAUGUGUUUAUAUUUUUUAAUAUUUUAUAUGUAUAUUUUUAUUAUAUAUUUUUUAUAUAUUAAAAAAAGAAAGUAAAAAAGAAAAAAUCCAAUUAUAUUUAUUUCGAUAAAUUAUUGAUUAGAAAGAAAUUUAAAGCAGACCGCAAGAAAAAAUUUAUUUUAUUUUAAUAUAAAAUGUANUACAAUUGCGGCGCAUCUUUCAAUUGUCUGCCUUAUCAACUGUCGAUGGUAGAUUACAUGUCUACCAUGGUUGUAACGGGUAACGGGGAAUCAGGGUUCGAUUCCGGAGAGGGAGCCUGAGAAACGGCUACCACAUCUAAGGAAGGCAGCAGGCGCGCAAAUUACCCACUCCCGGCACGGGGAGGUAGUGACGAUAAAUAACGAUCCGGAACUCUAAUGAGUUUCCGUAAUCGGAAUGAGUACAAUUUAAAUCCGUUAACGAGGAGCAAAUGGAGGGCAAGUCUGGUGCCAGCAGCCGCGGUAAUUCCAGCUCCAUUAGCAUAUAUUAAAGUUGUUGCGUUUAAAAAGCUCGUAGUUGAAUCUGUAUCUCAUCAUGUCAAUCGCUCGUAAUUUAAUUUAUGUAGUUUGAUUUGACAUUUUGUAUGAGAUAUAAAUACUGGUGGAUUUUUUCAAAAUUGAAUAUUAUUUUUUUAUAUUUAUUUCAUUAUAAAUAUAAAUUAAAUUGAUAAUGUUCAAUUUUAAAAUUCGAUAUAAUAAUUUUUUAAUGAAUAAGUUUUUUAAAAAAAAAAUCAAAUUUUUUUUUUUUUUUUAUUAAAAGAUAAUGUUUUUAAUUUUUAUUAAUUGCAUUUUUUUUUAAUUAAAAAAAAAAAUGAUUUUUAUUUUUGAAAAACUUUAAUUAAUUUUUAAUUAUAUUCUAAUAGAAUUGUUUUUUAUAAUUUUUAUUAGACCAGUAAAAUUACUUUGAACAAAUUAGAGUGCUUAAAGCAGGCAAAUUUAUAUGCCUUGAAUAUAACAGCAUGGAAUAAUAGAAUAUGAUCUCGAUACUGUUUUUAAAAAAAUAUUAUUUUUUUUUUUGAAUUCUUUUUUUUUCUUUUAGAAAAAGAAAGUUUUUAUUAUAAAAAAUAAAUAAAAAUUGGCUUAAAGAAAUAAAUAAUUUACUUAAAAUUUUUAUACAAAAAUAACAAAAAUUCGUAUCGUUGCAAAGAUUUGAUUUUUUGUAUUUAUUUUUUUGUUUUUUACAAAAAAAUUUACAAAAUCUAUUUGUUUUUUUUUUUUUUAAAAUUAAAUAAAAUAGAUAUUAAUUAAUUUUUUUGCAUUAAAAAACGAUUCGAAAAUAUUUUUGUUAGUUUUUUUUUUUAAAUUUUUUUGUUUAAAAAAGUUUUAAGGAUUUAUUUCGACAGUAUGAU